UUCGUGGAUCCGGGCUGUGGACCCAGGAGGUGAUUGAAGGUCUUGUCCAUGCCCCAGCUCUCGAACUCAAGGAUUUCUCAAACCAGCGACACUUACCAGAUUUAGCCCACUGUAGUUGAUGGCAGCGUCACAUGUUCUCUCGGGAAUGGCUCUCUCUGUCGAGGUUGACUCAUCAGGUUGGCCGCUGGGGCCGAACCCUCACCUUGGUGAGCGUCGGGUUGUUCGUGGCGCGAGCCAGGACCAGGAACCUCUUGUUGGGCGAGC